rnacentral:ncRNA from 1 species
GGUAGUAGCAAAUACUCAAAUGAGAACUUUGAGGACUGAAGUGGGGAAAGGUUCCAUGUGAACAGCAGUUGGACAUGGGUUAGUCGAUCCUAAGACAUAGGGUAGUUCCGUUUGAAAGCGCGCCCUAGUGCGCCGUUUGUCGAAAGGGAAGCCGGUUAAUAUUCCGGCACCUGGAUGUGGAUUCUCCACGGCAACGUAACUGAACGCGGAGACGUCGGCAGGAGUCCUGGGAAGAGUUCUCUUUUCUUCUUGACGGCCUAUCACCCUGAAAUCGGUUUGUCCGGAGCUAGGGUUUCAUGGCCAAGCAGAGCCCCGCACCUUUGCGGGGUCCGGUGCGCUCCUGACGACCCUUGAAAAUCCGCGGGAAGGAAUAGUUUUCACGCCAGGUCGUACUCAUAACCGCAGCAGGUCUCCAAGGUGAAAAGCCUCUAGUU